AUAGUGAUGUUUAACCUAAAGGGAGCCAAGGGAGAUAAAUGUGAGCUAGGCCCUUACCCAUGCGACGUUGUUUUCUUUUUUCUUUCCUUUUCAUUUCGAAAAUUGAUUUGUGUUUCUGCGGGCAUCAAGGGAGAAGAUAUAAUUACAGUGAGUAGUAAACAGAGGGGAGGGUCGCGGACUUCAACAGAUAGCAAGCAACAUUUGCGCGAAGGAUCCAGCUUUGGAUGACGGGGAAAAAACAAAAUAAACAAAAAAAAGGGAAGUAAAGAUAACAAAAAAAAGACAACUCACGGCAUGUGGAAUGUAGGAAAUAUCUGGUCCAAGCUUUUUCCCCACAGAGAAAAAGGCCUGGGCUAGAUAAAUCUCUGUGCGACGGGCGACCACUUUCUGUAACAGCGGGGCCCAAGGAGUCCAGGACAGGCGGUGCCGACAGGGAAAGGCGAGGUCAGCGUUUCAGGGAAUCCAGGAUGCGGGUAUCAGUCUUUGCGCGAACGAGCAGGAUGCCACUAAGAAAGCCACCGGAUCAACGGGCUGGAAAUCGAGCUUCAUAGAGAGACAGCGAUCGAAGAGAAAGGCGAGCGCGAAUUGGGAAUCAGUGAGCUGGGCUCGGAGAAAGAAAACAAAGGAAUAGAAUAACUACUGGUACAUUCGCAAGGGUUAGUUAACAGUUUGUAUUAACGAUCAUAACUUGUAGCAGUCGUAGUAGUGGUUGUAGAUAGUGUACAUGAAUGGCCAAAAACGGAACGGACUGGAAUACAGUAUGGCGGAACUUAGGAACAUCAGAAAUAAAAAUAAAAGCA
rnacentral:sRNA from 1 species